AGUAGCAACCUAAGCGCGAAGGGACUACAGGCCUUGGUAGGAAGCUGCUGGACGCUCUCGCGGCGCCUGCCCUGGUCCCCGCGUCCGCCCGGGGAGGACGCGGGCAAGGGCUGCAAUAAGGAGGGAGGCCGCCAGGGGACGCUCCAGUCCCGCCCGGGAAGCGCCGCACGGCUUCCUGGGGGUUGACCCGCGCACGAGGUCCUCACCGCCCGAGGUCCGCGCGGCGCUGCGUGUUUGGCGUCCCGCGGCGGCCGGGGCCUCCGUGGACCGUCCAGCGCCCCCUCAUGCGUCUCCCCCUUUCUGCUCGCGCUCACCCUAAACCCCGCAGCGCCCACCUGCGUCCUCGCACCGGCCGGGUGCCGGUGCGGCCCGAGCCGCUCUCGAGGGGUCGAAUUCCGGGUCUGCAGGAGGCGGGUCUUCUUCGAACUCUAUGUCCCGGUGUCCUCAUCAAAAGGGGAAAUCUGGACACAGAGACAGGCACACACAGAAGAAAGAAGAUGUGAAGACACAGAAAUCACCAUGUGAAGAUGGAGGCAGAGAUCGGAGUGAUGUAUCUACAAGCCCAGGAACACCAGAGAUCGCCAGCAACCCCCAAAGCUGAGAGAGAGGCCUGAAGAGAUUCUCCCUCAGGACCAGCCUUGCUGACACCUUGAUCUUGGACUUCUAGCCUCUAGAACUGUGAGACAAUAAAUGUCUGUUGUUUAAGUCC